CAGCCACCCAGUGACUGAGGCCUCUUGCAGAAAUCCAUAUGAGUGGGCCAGCUGACAAGAAAAUCUUCCAGCUCUAGUCAAGCCUUCAGAACACCAGCUCUUAGUGCCAGGAACUGCCAGGUAAGAAUUCUGACUACACUGAGGCCACCAUGCUCUGAGGAAGUCAAGCCAGAUGGAAAGAUCACAGCAGGAGAACUGGUCAGCAGUCAUACUCUUGAACUCAUCCCAACCCAGACUCCAGACAUGUGAAUUGACAAGUCUUCAGAUGAUUCCAGCACAAAGCCAUUGAGUCACCUCCAGCCAUUGAGUGUCCCCAGCCGAGACACCAGUCACCAUCAAGCAGAGCCAGUAUGCCUGUUAUGCCUGUCCAAAUUCUUGACCCACUAAAUUCUAUGAAAUUAAUAAAUGGUUGUUUAAGUUACUAAAUUUUAAACUUAAUUUGUUAUGCAGUAAUAGGAAUUGUUCCUGUCUGUGAGCAAGUCCUCAUGGACAAUAAACUCAGAUCUGUCUGUGGAAUCUGGGAGAAAAAGAGACUGUUAUCCUUCCCCAUGGUACAGCCCCAGAAAGAUAAAAGUCUCAGAAUAAAACACUGUACAUG
rnacentral:lncRNA from 1 species